GAUGAAUGCUGGCGGCGUGCCUAAUACAUGCAAGUCGAGCGAACGGACGAGAAGCUUGCUUCUCUGAUGUUAGCGGCGGACGGGUGAGUAACACGUGGAUAACCUACCUAUAAGACUGGGAUAACUUCGGGAAACCGGAGCUAAUACCGGAUAAUAUUUUGAACCGCAUGGUUCAAAAGUGAAAGACGGUCUUGCUGUCACUUAUAGAUGGAUCCGCGCUGCAUUAGCUAGUUGGUAAGGUAACGGCUUACCAAGGCAACGAUGCAUAGACGACCUGAGAGGGUGAUCGGCCACACUGGAACUGAGACACGGUCCAGACUCCUACGGGAGGCAGCAGUAGGGAAUCUUCCGCAAUGGGCGAAAGCCUGACGGAGCAACGCCGCGUGAGUGAUGAAGGUCUUCGGAUCGUAAAACUCUGUUAUUAGGGAAGAACAUAUGUGUAAGUAACUGUGCACAUCUUGACGGUACCUAAUCAGAAAGCCACGGCUAACUACGUG
rnacentral:rRNA from 1 species